GUAAAGAAACUUAUCAGUAUUUUUUUUGGAACGAAAUAGAGAAGAUUAGCGUGGUCCCUGCGCAAGGAUGACACUCAAAAUAGUGGGACAUCCCACAUCUUU
rnacentral:snRNA from 1 species